UAGGGAAUCUUCGGCAAUGGACGGAAGUCUGACCGAGCAACGCCGCGUGAGUGAAGAAGGUUUUCGGAUCGUAAAGCUCUGUUGUAAGAGAAGAACGAGUGUGAGAGUGGAAAGUUCACACUGUGACGGUAUCUUACCAGAAAGGGACGGCUAACUACGUGCCAGCAGCCGCGGUAAUACGUAGGUCCCGAGCGUUAUCCGGAUUUAUUGGGCGUAAAGCGAGCGCAGGCGGUUAGAUAAGUCUGAAGUUAAAGGCUGUGGCUUAACCAUAGUACGCUUUGGAAACUGUUUAACCUGAGUGCAGAAGGGGAGAGUGGAAUUCCAUGUGUAGCGGUGAAAUGCGUAGAUAUAUGGAGGAACACCGGUGGCGAAAGCGGCUCUCUGGUCUGUAACUGACGCUGAGGCUCGAAAGCGUGGGGAGCAAACAGGAUUAGAUACCCUGGUAGUCCACGCCGUAAACGAUGAGUGCUAGGUGUUGGGUCCUUUCCGGGACUCAGUGCCGCAGCUAACGCAUUAAGCACUCCGCCUGGGGAGUACGACCGCAAGGUUG
rnacentral:rRNA from 1 species